rnacentral:rRNA from 1 species
UACGGGGGGGGCAAGCGUUGUUCGGAAUUACUGGGCGUAAAGGGCGCGUAGGCGGCCCGCUUAGUCGGACGUGAAAUCCCUCGGCUCAACCGAGGAACUGCGUCCGAUACUGGCGGGCUCGAAUCCGGGAGAGGGAUGUGGAAUUCCAGGUGUAGCGGUGAAAUGCGUAGAUAUUGGGAAGAACACCAGUGGCGAAGGCGGCUAACUGGUCCAGAUCUGACGCUGAGGUGCGAAAGCGUGGGGAGCAAACAGG